rnacentral:rRNA from 1 species
CCUACGGGUGGCAGCAGUGAGGAAUAUUGGUCAAUGGGCGCGAGCCUGAACCAGCCAAGUCGCGUGAGGGAAGACGGCUCUAUGAGUUGUAAACUGCUUUUGUACGAGGGUAAACGCAGAUACGCGUAUCUGUCUGAAAGUAUCGUACGAAUAAGGAUCGGCUAACUCCGUGCCAGCAGCCGCGGUAAUACGGAGGAUUCAAGCGUUAUCCGGAUUUAUUGGGUUUAAAGGGUGCGUAGGCGGAUCGUUAAGUCAGUGGUAAAAUUGAGGGGCUCAACCCCUUCCCGCCAUUGAAACUGGCGCUCUUGAGUGGAAGAGAAGUAUGCGGAAUGCGUGGUGUAGCGGUGAAAUGCAUAGAUAUCACGCAGAACCCCGAUUGCGAAGGCAGCAUGCCGGCUUCCGACUGACGCUGAAGCACGAAAGCGUGGGGAUCGAACAGGAUUAGAUACCCGGGUAGUC